rnacentral:rRNA from 1 species
GUGAGGAAUAUUGCGCAAUGGAGGCAACUCUGACGCAGCCAUGCCGCGUGCAGGAAGAAGGCGCUACGCGUUGUAAACUGCUUUUAACCGGGAAGAAACCCCAGGACGUGUCCUGGGUUGACGGUACCGGAGGAAUAAGCACCGGCUAACUUCGUGCCAGCAGCCGCGGUAAUACGAAGGGUGCAAGCGUUAUCCGGAUUCAUUGGGUUUAAAGGGUGCGUAGGCGGAGCGUUAAGUCAGUGGUGAAAUCCUGCAGCUUAACUGUAGACUUGCCAUUGAUACUGGCGGUCUUGAGUGCGGUUGAAGUGGGAGGAAUGUGACGUGGAGCGGUGAAAUGCUUAGAGAUGGCACAGAACAACAAUUGGGAAGGCAGCUCACUAAGGCGAUACUGACGCUGAGGCACGAAAGCGUGGGGAUCGAACAGGAUUAGAUACCCUAGUAGUCC